AGAUGUGUCUAACAUAGAAAAAACUAAAAUAAAUCUAAAUCGUGUCGUUUGACGACGAGUCAUGUCUACGAGAAGGCGGUGUAGGUAAGACACCUAUGAGGAUCGACAAACGAUUUUGGAGUAGUUGAUCAACUUGCUCACGCACCUCUUGUUGCAAUUCGUGUCUCAUUUAUUCACGUAAUUCUUCUCUCAUUUUUUAUCUAAUCUCUUCUCUGAUCUGUGUUCUCAUAUCAUGCUUCAUCUCUUCCUUACUUUCUUGCAAAUGAUGCCCGACACACUCAUUCACUCGAGCAUUAAAGUCUAUAUCUUGAAGUGGAGAUAUCGAAAUAGAGGAUGCACCAACAUGCCCA
rnacentral:lncRNA from 1 species